UACGGGGGGGGGCAAGCGUUGUUCGGAAUUACUGGGCGUAAAGGGUUUGUAGGUGGCUCGCUAAGUCAGACGUGAAAUCCCUCAGCUUAACUGGGGAACUGCGUCUGAGACUGGCGAGCUUGAGUGCAGGAGAGGAACGCGGAAUUCCAGGUGUAGCGGUGAAAUGCGUAGAUAUCUGGAGGAACACCGGUGGCGAAGGCGGCGUUCUGGACUGCAACUGACACUGAGAAACGAAAGCCAGGGGAGCAAACGGG
rnacentral:rRNA from 1 species